rnacentral:rRNA from 1 species
AGAGUUUGAUCCUGGCUCAGGACUAACGCUGGCGGCGCGCCUAACACAUGCAAGUCGCACGAGAAACUUCGUAGCAAUACGGGGCGGUAAGGUGGCGAACGGGUGAGUAAUGCAUGGGUGACCUGUCCUCAAGAUGGGAAUAACCUCGCGAAAGCGGGGCUAAUACCCAAUGCCAUUUCGGUCUUACGGGAUCGGGAUGAAAGAUAGCUGUUACAGGCUUUUACUUGAGGAGGGGCCCAUGUCCCAUCAGCUAGUUGGUAGGGUAACGGCCUACCAAGGCUAUGACGGGUAGCUGGUCUGAGAGGACGACCAGCCACACUGGCACUGAGACACGGGCCAGACUCCUACGGGAGGCAGCAGUGAGGAAUCUUGCGCAAUGGACGAAAGUCUGACGCAGCGACGCCGCGUGGGGGAUGAAGGCCUUCGGGUCGUAAACCCCUUUUGGUGGGAAAGAAACGCUCAGAUGUUAACAGCGUCUGGGUUUGACGGUACCCACAGAAAAAGCCACGGCUAACUCUGUGCCAGCAGCCGCGGUAAGACAGAGGUGGCAAGCGUUGUCCGGAAUUACUGGGCGUAAAGAGCGCGUAGGUGGCUAGAUAAGUCCGGUGUGAAAUCCUUCGGCUUAACCGAGGAAUGGCAUCGGGGACUGUAUAGCUAGAGGACGGGAGAGGAGAGCGGAAUUCCCGGUGUAGCGGUGAAAUGCGUAGAGAUCGGGAGGAAGGCCGGUGGCGAAGGCGGCUCUCUGGAACGUCCCUGACGCUGAGGCGCGAAAGCGUGGGGAGCAAACAGGAUUAGAUACCCUAGUAGUCC